UUCCAGACUCCUACGGGAGGCAGCAGUGAGGAAUAUUGGUCAAUGGGCGGGAGCCUGAACCAGCCAAGUCGCGUGAGGGAAGACGGUCCUAUGGAUUGUAAACCUCUUUAGGCGGGGAGCAAUGCCGGGCACGCGUGCCCGGAGGGAGAGUACCCGCAGAAUAAGCAUCGGCUAACUCCGUGCCAGCAGCCGCGGUAAUACGGAGGAUGCGAGCGUUAUCCGGAUUUAUUGGGUUUAAAGGGUGCGUAGGCGGAUUUUUAAGUCAGCGGUAAAAUGUCCGGGCUCAACCCGGGCCGGCCGUUGAAACUGGGGAUCUUGAGUGGGCGAGAAGUAUGCGGAAUGCGUGGUGUAGCGGUGAAAUGCAUAGAUAUCACGAAGAACUCCGAUUGCGAAGGCAGCCUACUAAACUGCCACUGACAUUGAUGCUCGAAAGUGUGGGUAUCAAACAGGAUUAGAUACCCCUGUAC
rnacentral:rRNA from 1 species